rnacentral:rRNA from 1 species
UUUAGUGGCGGACUGGUGAGUAACACGUAAGCAACCUGCCUAUUAGAGGGGAAUAACAGCGAGAAAUCGUUGCUAAUACCGCAUAUGCCAUAAGCAUCACAUGAUGCUAGUGGGAAAGGAGAAAUCCGCUGAUAGAUGGGCUUGCGUCUGAUUAGUUAGUUGGUGGGGUAACGGCCUACCAAGACGACGAUCAGUAGCCGGGCUGAGAGGUUCAACGGCCACAUUGGGACUGAGAUACGGCCCAGACUCCUACGGGAGGCAGCAGUCGGGAAUAUUGCGCAAUGGAGGAAACUCUGACGCAGUGACGCCGCGUAUAGGAAGAAGGUUUUCGGAUUGUAAACUAUUGUCUGCAGGGAAGAUAAAAGACUGUACCUGCAAAGAAAGCUCCGGCUAACUACGUGCCAGCAGCCGCGGUAAUACGUAGGGAGCAAGCGUUAUCCGGAUUUAUUGGGUGUAAAGGGUGCGUAGACGGGAAAUUAAGUUAGUUGUGAAAUCCCUCGGCUCAACUGAGGAACUGCAACUGAAACUGAUUUUCUUGAGUGCAGGAGAGGAAAGUGGAAUUCCUAGUGUAGCGGUGAAAUGCGUAGAUAUUAGGAGGAACACCAGUGGCGAAGGCGACUUUCUGGACUGUAACUGACGUUGAGGCACGAAAGUGCGGGGAGCAAACAGGAUUAGAUACCCUGGUAGUCCACACUGUAAACGAUGGAUACUAGGUGUAGGGGGUAUUAAGCCUUCUGUGCCGUCGCAAACGCAGUAAGUAUCCCACCUGGGGAGUACGACCGCAAGGUUGAAACUCAAAGGAAUUGACGGGGGCCCGCACAAGCAGUGGAGUAUGUGGUUUAAUUCGAAGCAACGCGAAGAACCUUACCAGGGCUUGACAUAUACAGGAAUAUACAAGAGAUUGUAUAGCUCUUCGGAGUCUGUAUACAGGUGGUGCAUGGUUGUCGUCAGCUCGUGUCGUGAGAUGUUGGGUUAAGUCCCGCAACGAGCGCAACCCCUGUUUCUAGUUGCCAGCAUGUAAAGAUGGGAACUCUAGAGAGACUGCCGUUGAUAAAACGGAGGAAGGUGGGGACGACGUCAAAUCAUCAUGCCCUUUAUGUCCUGGGCUACACACGUACUACAAUGGCUAUGACAGAGGGAAGCGAAAGAGUGAUCUGAAGCGAAACUCAAAAAAGUAGUCUCAGUUCGGAUUGUAGGCUGAAAUUCGCCUACAUGAAGCCGGAAUUGCUAGUAAUGGCAGGUCAGCAUACUGCCGUGAAUACGUUCCCGGGCCUUGUACACACCGCCCGUCACACCAUGAGAGUUGGGGAUACCCGAAGCCUGUGAGCUAACUAUUUAUAGAGGCAGCAGUCGAAGGUAGAAUCAAUGAUUGGGGUGAAGUCGUAACAAGGUAUCC